AAGACUAUACUUUCAGGGAUCAUUUCUAUAGUGUUUAAAGAGGAAAUGUGUUUCGAAAGUGUUAUGUCUCCCUAACCACGAUGAUGAGUUUUGAUACUCUUUUCUGAGCGUGAAUCGGGUGUAGAGUAAUGAUUCAUUUCAUACGCUUUACAUCAUUGAUGAACGUUCUUUGCUGUUUUAUUACAGCAUGGAGGAAAAGAGUAUGAACAGAGCGGU